rnacentral:lncRNA from 1 species
AGGCAUCAUAAAAACAUUAUAUCUCAUACAAGACCAUGUAUACAGGGAAUACAACAGACUCUAGUCAAGCACAUUAUUAAACUUACAUUACAUUACAUCUCAUACUUUUACAUUACCAACAAACCAUGUCCACAGCUAAGCUAUUACAUAAACUUCUCUUACUCUGAUGACUUCUCUAUCUACUCUGCACCUGCAAGACUGGGGUUAAGGGAGAGGGGGUGAGCUAUAAAGCCCAAUGAGCAGAAACUAAAAACAUUUGCUUUAAUUCCUCCAUUUUUAGGUAUAUUAUUAUUCAUUUUAUUAUUAUUAUUAUUAUCAUAUUAUUUAACUUUUUCUUUCUUUUUCUUAAUCAUGCUUUCAUGAAAUGCAACACAUCACAGCUAAUCACAUAAAGGAUGGUAUUGUCACCAUUAGUCCUCAACAUCUCCAAAUGCCAGGGGCGUAGAAUGGGCCUCACUGGUCUUUCUCUUACAUAACAUAACAUUCUAAAGUGCCAGGGGCGUAGAAUGGGCCUCGCUGGUCUUUCUCUU